AAUGAACGCUGGCGGCAUGCCUUACACAUGCAAGUCGAACGGCAGCAUGACCUAGCUUGCUAGGUUGAUGGCGAGUGGCGAACGGGUGAGUAAUGCAUCGGAACGUGCCUUUUAGUGGGGGAUAACGUAGCGAAAGUUACGCUAAUACCGCAUAUUCUCUGAGGAGGAAAGCAGGGGACCUUCGGGCCUUGCGCUAGAAGAGCGGCCGAUGUCGGAUUAGCUAGUUGGUGAGGUAAAGGCUCACCAAGGCAACGAUCCGUAGCGGGUCUGAGAGGAUGAUCCGCCACACUGGGGCUGAGACACGGCCCAGACUCCUACGGGAGGCAGCAGUGGGGAAUUUUGGACAAUGGGCGCAAGCCUGAUCCAGCCAUGCCGCGUGAGUGAAGAAGGCCUUCGGGUUGUAAAGCUCUUUCGGCUGGGAAGAAAUCGCACCCUCUAAUACAGGGUGUGGAUGACGGUACCAGCAUAAGAAGCACCGGCUAACUACGUG
rnacentral:rRNA from 1 species